rnacentral:rRNA from 1 species
UACGAAGGGGGCUAGCGUUGCUCGGAAUUACUGGGCGUAAAGGGAGCGUAGGCGGACAUUUAAGUCAGGGGUGAAAUCCCGAGGCUCAACCUCGGAACUGCCUUUGAUACUGGAUGUCUUGAGUGUGAGAGAGGUGAGUGGAACUCCGAGUGUAGAGGUGAAAUUCGUAGAUAUUCGGAAGAACACCAGUGGCGAAGGCGACUCACUGGCUCAUUACUGACGCUCAGGUGCGAAAGCGUGGGGAGCAAACAGG